rnacentral:misc_RNA from 1 species
GAUGAAGAACGUAGCGAAAUGCGAUACGUAAUGUGAAUUGCAGAAUUCAGUGAAUCAUCGAAUCUUUGAACGCAUAUUGCGCUCUUUGGUAUUCCGAAGAGCAUGCUUGUUUGAGUAUCAGUAAACACCUCAAAGCUUUUGGAUUUUUUAAUCGAAAAGCUUUGGACUUGAGCAAUCCCAACACCAAUCUUUUUGAGAUCGGUGGCGGGUUGCUUGAAAUGCAGGUGCAGCUGGACAUUCUCCUGAGCUAAAAGCAUAUUCAUUUAGUCCCGUCAAACGGAUUAUUACUUUUGCUGCAGCUAACAUAAAGGGAGUUUGACCGUAUUGGCUGACUGAUGCAGGAUUCCACAAGGGUCGGCAACGAUUCUUGUUAAACUCGAUCUCAAAUCAAGUAAGACUACCCGCUGAACUUAAGCAUAUCAAUAAGCGGAGGA